CCUACGGGAGGCAGCAGUAGGGAAUAUUGCUCAAUGGGGGAAACCCUGAAGCAGCAACGCCGCGUGGGGGAUGAAGUUUUUCGGAUUGUAAACCCCUUUUGUUAGGGAAGAUAAUGACGGUAUCUAACGAAUAAGCACCGGCUAACUACGUGCCAGCAGCCGCGGUAAUACGGAGGGGGCAAGCGUUACUCGGAUUCACUGGGUGUAAAGGGCGCGUAGGCGGGAUAGCAAGUCAGAAGUGAAAUCCUAGGGCUCAACCAUAGAACUGCAUUUGAAACUGUUGGGCUAGAGUGCAGGAGAGGUAGGCGGAAUUCUUGGUGUAGGGGUAAAAUGCGUAGAGAUUAAGAGGAACACUCAUUGCGAAGGCGACCUGCUAGACUAUAACUGACGUUGAGGCUCGAAAGCGUGGGGAGCAAACAGGAUUAGAUACCCUUGUAGUC
rnacentral:rRNA from 1 species